rnacentral:miRNA from 1 species
AGAUGUAUGGAAUCUGUAUAUAUC